UACGUAGGGUGCGAGCGUUAAUCGGAAUUACUGGGCGUAAAGCGUGCGCAGGCGGUCCGCAAAGUCUGAUGUGGAAGCCCCGGGCUCAACCUGGGAACUGCAUUGGAAACUAACGGGCUCGAGUGUGGCAGAGGGGGGUGGAAUUCCACGUGUAGCAGUGAAAUGCGUAGAGAUGUGGAGGAACACCGAUGGCGAAGGCAGCCCCCUGGGCUAACACUGACGCUCAGGCACGAAAGCGUGGGGAGCAAACAGG
rnacentral:rRNA from 1 species